UACCAUCACCAUGACAUAGAAAUGUUUAUAGACAGAUCAUUUAAAUACGUUGAUACCGACCACAACGGUGUAAUGGUUAUGGCGGAACUCGAUGGAGCAUUUGACGUCUUAGAUGUUGAUCAUGACGACAAACUUUCCUAUGCUGAAUAUACAAAAUAUUCACAAUCUGCUGAAAGCCAACUUUCUCACGAUGUUUACAACCACUUUGACACCAACAAGGACGGUUUUCUGCAAAGAACAGAAUAUGUUGACUCGGUGUUCAGCCAAAUGGACCACAAUGGUGAUGGUCAGGUGACCAGACAUGAUUAUGAUCAUUUCUUUACAAAUGUGGUUCAGCAUGAGAUGCACCAUGGACACAACGGUCGAUAAAUUUGUUCUUGCCACAGGUUCCUAAUAAAAGAAAAAUUCCUU
rnacentral:misc_RNA from 1 species